UUACGGAGCUAUCAUACACACACCCACUGCGGGCGCGUGUGCAGGAAUUUUAGCAAGGGGGGGGGGGUGUGUCUAUACUGAGGUGAGCAACGUUUAUAGGGGGUGACACGCUCCGCCGGAUAAUUAUCAAGCAGGGGAUUGAGCAAGUGAUUUUAUUAUUAUUUAUUUUUAUUUUAUUUAUUUUUGGGGAAUGAGUGGGGAGUGACGGUUAGUUUGUUGUUUAAUUUGUUUGUUUGUUUGUUUUUCUUUUCUUUUUUCACGGAGCUCCGUACACAGACAGUACCACUGCAGACGCGUGUGCAGGGAUUUUAGCAUGGGGAUGAGGUCUACACGGAGGCGAGCGAAGUUUACGUCCGACUCUUUGUCCAUCUAACGCAGUGAACGUCUCACCCGAGCUGACAGUUCGAUGCCACAGUACUUGCACUUUUCUAUCAUCGAUGUUCCCGGGGCGUUGUUCAGCCUGUGUAUGGUGGAUGCAGCUCUCCCAGUCAUUGUUCGUGAAUAGUUCACAUUCUUAGCUCUGUGAUUCUGUGUGUACCCAGGAACAUGGAUCGGUGCCACCAGUUGUGCGUUAUUCCUCCACUGCAGACGACCGAGUACCGCGAAAUCUUUGAACAGUCACCACCGUAGCACGAAAGUGUCGAUUGCAGGACCUUUGGUAAGUUUCGUUUCAGUACACCGAUAUUACCAGUGUGUAGUUUCAUCAGUUCUUUAAGAAUUAAACUGCACCUUGCUUUCAUAUCCUGGCUGAAUACCUUCUGUGCUUCACGCUUUUGUUCACGGGUGGACCCAGUAAAUAUGUCGGGACUGAAGUUAGCUUUGUAACACUUACGAAACUGACUCUGACCUAAGUGGGUUGGAUCAGCUAGCCGCUGCACUUUCCACAUUGGAUGUAGAAGUUUCAAAGCACUAUCAACUCCAGCAGAUGAUCUGGAAUCUCCAUCUGUUGUGACGUAUUUUAUGAGAAUACCUUGUAGAGCCAAGUCUGUUCCGA